UACGGAGGGUGCAAGCGUUACUCGGAAUUACUGGGCGUAAAGCGUGCGCAGGCGGUUUGUUAAGUCUGCUGUGAAAUCCCCGAGCUCAACUUGGGAAUUGCAGUGGAUACUGGCAAGCUAGAGUAUGGUAGAGGAAGGUGGAAUUCCCGGUGUAGCAGUGAAAUGCGUAGAGAUCGGGAGGAACACCAGUGGCGAAGGCGGCCUUCUGGACCAAUACUGACGUUCAUGCACGAAAGCGUGGGGAGCAAACAGG
rnacentral:rRNA from 1 species